rnacentral:rRNA from 1 species
UGCCAGCCGCCGCGGUAAGACGGAGGGUCCUAGCGUUGUUCGGAAUGACUGGGCGUAAAGGGUACGUAGGCGGUUUGGUCAGUUAGAUGUGAAAGCCCAGGGCUCAACCGUGGAACUGCUUUGCAUACUGCAGGGCUAGAGGACGGUAGGGGAGAGCGGAACUCCUGGUGGAGCGGUGAAAUGCGUAGAUAUCUGGAGGAACAUCAGUGGCGAAGGCGGCUCCCUGGCCAAAGACUGACGCUCAUGUGCGAAAGUGUGGGUAGCGAACAGGAUUAGAUA